AUAAUGUUUUGGGAAGCUACCUGA
rnacentral:piRNA from 1 species